rnacentral:rRNA from 1 species
UACGGAGGGGGCGAGCGUUAUUCGGAAUCAUUGGGCGUAAGGGUGCGCAGGCGGCCAAGUGUGUUAGGCGUGAAAGCCCCGGGGCUUAACCCCGGAAUUGCACCUAAAACUACAUGGCUAGAGCAUUGGAGAGGGUAGCGGAAUUCACGGUGUAGCAGUGAAAUGCGUAGAUAUCGUGAGGAACACCAGAGGCGAAGGCGGCAUCCUGGACCGGCAUUGACGCUGAGGAGCGAAAGCCAGGGGAGGCAAACGGG